rnacentral:tRNA from 3 species
GCCUCGAUGGUGAAAUUGGUAGACACUGCAGACUUAAAAUCUGCCGCUUUUAACGAAGCGUGCCGGUUCGAUUCCGGCUCGAGGCACCA